UCAGUACUUAGGAGAGGGGCUGGCUGAGUAAGCUGAACAGGACCUUAGUCCUGGGGAAGGAGGAAGCUUAGCUGCAUCUGGAAGUUUCCAGUAACAUCUUUGUCUUCUAAGGUCCUACUGUACAGCGCAUGAUGGCUGAUACAAAACAGGAAGCUCCCAAGAGUCUUCUUCCAAGCCAGGUGUUGAAGGUGGAGGUGGAGGCAAGCAGAAAUACUGCAGCUCUCUUCAGUGAGACCCUGGUCAGAUGUCCUCUCAGCCUUCUCUUCACCAGACUGAACAGUGCCAGAGUUCUCAGUCUGUCUUCUCAGCAGAGAUGUUCAAGUCCCUCAGUCAUCCUGUCACAUUUUUAGAGAAGGAGCUGCUGGCCAUGAAGAAGCAUGCAAGGAAAUGAAUAGCUUUCACCUCCCCUCGCUUCAGAGCUGAGCUGCUCUCCCUUUGACAGCUGAGCCCAGAGUCUGUUUGCCACUGAGCCUGAUGAAAAUAAGUGGAAAAUCUAUUAACUCUUUUGCUCUCUGCUGCUUCUGGAUCUAAGCAUGCACCACAUGAGGAAGAUGGCAGAGGACCUGCUGCUUGACAAACAUCCAUUCAGAGGGACACAAAAGGGACACUAUGGGUGGCAUUCCUUUUUGCUGAUCUUGCCCAUGAGUCAGAGAAGGAGCCUGGGUGAGUUCACUGAAAACAUGGUUGCUGGGGAUGUAAAAGGCUACAAAACUGUCAUGUGCAUCACUGACCUAUACUGAAAGAAUUCCUCUUUGAGUCUUGUGGCAGUGGAGCUACAGCUGUACAAAACUGGAAUAUCCAAAUUCUUUUCUUCUGUUCUUGUUUCCUUUUGAGCUAACAAGUGGGUAAGUAGCAGAAAAUCAAUGAGACACAGGCAAGCAGUUAACAUUGUAAACUAAUGUGGCCAUAACCAAUAAAAGGGGCAAUAAAUGGGCAUGCAAGAGCAGUUA